UGUUUCUGGUUUAGAGAGAGAGAAGGAACCAAACAACAUUAAACGAAUCCCAGCACAAUCAUCUUCCCCAAGCCAGCCUUUGCUGCAGCCAGCACAAAUGCAGCUGCUGAAGGUGGAGGCCAGGUGGGAGCAGGUCAUUAGAAAGGUCAAAGAGAGAAGGAGAAAAACAAGACUUGCAGACUCAUUUUCUGCCCUUCAACAUGAAACAAAACCACCCAAGUUUAUCUACCCUGCUGAAGAGAAACCUCUCCAGAGGGACGAGGUCAAAGAGCUGAGUGACCUCACCCCUGCCCCAGCACAAGCCCUCUCGAGUCCCUGUGGCCCUUAGCUGUCUCUUUUGGCUGACAAAUUAUCCAAGGAACCGAGACAGACUCAAAAGAGGCUGCAAAGAGAUUGCACUGUGGGAUGAAGUCCCUGGCAGAGGGGGUAAGUGGGUGCUGGAACAGACUCACUGCACAGGGACGAGAUGGAGAUGUUACAAAACCAAACUGUCAGCACUCUGCUCUCAGGAAAUAUUCAGGACUUUGAAACCCAUUGUGAAACUUCCUGGUGGUCUUAACCACAAGGCAAUAAACCCACAGAGCUGUACUUUGUCGU